UGUAUGUGUGUGUGACUACCUCCUAAAUUUAGAAGGAUACAGAGAGAUUAGCAUGGCCCCUACUCAAGGAUGACAUGCAGAUUCAUGAAGCAUUCCAUCUGAAC
ensembl:snRNA U6 U6 spliceosomal RNA